rnacentral:tRNA from 1 species
CCAUAGCUCAGUUGGUUAGAGCACCUGACUCAUAAUCAGGGAGUCACUGGUUCAAGCCCAGUUGGG